GACGAACGCUGGCGGCGUGCCUAAUACAUGCAAGUAGAACGCUGAAGCUUGGUGCUUGCACCGAGCGGAUGAGUUGCGAACGGGUGAGUAACGCGUAGGUAACCUGCCUGGUAGCGGGGGAUAACUAUUGGAAACGAUAGCUAAUACCGCAUAAGAGUAGAUGUUGCAUGACAUUUGCUUAAAAGGUGCAAUUGCAUCACUACCAGAUGGACCUGCGUUGUAUUAGCUAGUUGGUGAGGUAACGGCUCACCAAGGCAACGAUACAUAGCCGACCUGAGAGGGUGAUCGGCCACACUGGGACUGAGACACGGCCCAGACUCCUACGGGGGGCAGCAGUAGGGAAUCUUCGGCAAUGGACGGAAGUCUGACCGAGCAACGCCGCGUGAGUGAAGAAGGUUUUCGGAUCGUAAAGCUCUGUUGUAAGAGAAGAACGAGUGUGAGAGUGGAAAGUUCACACUGUGACGGUAUCUUACCAGAAAGGGACGGCUAACUACGUG
rnacentral:rRNA from 1 species